rnacentral:pre_miRNA from 1 species
UCUUAUGGAUGAGCAAAGAAAGUAGUUUCUUGAGAUGGAAUCUGAUCCUGGUGAAGGUGCUGUGAA